rnacentral:rRNA from 1 species
CGGUAAUUCCAGCUCCAAUAGCGUAUACUAAAGUUGUUGCAGUUAAAAAGCUCGUAGUUGGAUUUCUGCGGGGACGGAGCGGCCGGUCGCAACUUGCGACUCGAGCUAGCGCUUUCCCCGCAUCCUGCCGCGAACCGUGCUACCAUUAGUUUGGUGGCGCUGGGGAUCGGCUCGAUUACUUUGAGAAAAAUAGAGUGUUCAAAGCAGGCCACAUGCCUUGAAUAAGUUAGCAUGGAAUAAUGACUAAGGACUUCGGUUCUAUUUUGUUGGUGUUCGGGACUGAAGUAAUGAUUGAUAGGGACAGUUGGGGCGGUCUGUAUUCCAAAGCGAGAGGUGAAAUUCUUAGACCUUCGGAAGACAAACAGCUGCGAAAGCGUUCCGCAAGGAUGUUCCCUUUGAUCAAGAACGAAAGUUGGGGGAUCGAAGACGAUCAGAUACCGUCGUAGUCUCAACUAUAAACUAUACCAGCUAGGGAUCGGCCAACGUUUAAUUAAUCGACUUGGUCGGCACCUUAUGAGAAAUCAAAGCAUCUGGGUUCCGGGGGGAGUAUGGUCGCAAGGCUGAAACUUAAAGGAAUUGACGGAAGGGCACCACCAGCCGUGGAGCCUGUGGCUUAAUUUGACUCAACACGGGAAAACUUACCAGGUCCAGACAUAGGAAGGAUUGACAGAUUGAUAGCUCUUUCUUGAUUCUGUGGGUGGUGGUGCAUGGCCGUUUUUAGUUGGUGGAGUGAUUUGUCUGCUUAAUUGCGUUAACGAACGAGACCCCAGCCUGCUAAAUAGCGCGGCCGAGCUUUGCUCGGUGCGAGCUUCUUAGAGGGACCAUGAUGCGCGAUAGCACAAGGAAGUUUGGGGCAACAACAGGUCUGUGAUGCCCUUAGAUGUUCUGGGCCGCACGCGGGCUACACUGGCGCCUGCAACGAGCAUAUCAGCUGGUCCGAGAGGGUCUUGGCUAAUCUUUUGAACCGGCGCCGUGCUUGGGAUUGACCUUUGCAAUUGUUGGUCAUGCAACGAGGAAUGCCUUGUAAACGCGAGUCAUCAGCUCGCAUUGAAUACGUCCCUGCCCUUUGUACACACCGCCC